rnacentral:rRNA from 1 species
ACGGUAGCACAGGAGAGCUUGCUCUCUGGGUGACGAGUGGCGGACGGGUGAGUAAUGCAUGGGGAGCUGCCCAAUCGAGGGGGAUACCAGCUGGAAACGGCUGCUAAUACCGCAUACGCCCUGAGGGGGAAAGGUGGGGACCUUCGGGCCUACCGCGAUUGGAUGCACCCAUGUGGGAUUAGCUAGUUGGUGAGGUAGCGGCUCACCAAGGCGACGAUCUCUAGCUGGUCUGAGAGGAUGACCAGCCACACUGGAACUGAGACACGGUCCAGACUCCUACGGGAGGCAGCAGUGGGGAAUAUUGCACAAUGGGGGAAACCCUGAUGCAGCCAUGCCGCGUGUGUGAAGAAGGCCUUCGGGUUGUAAAGCACUUUCAGUAGGGAGGAAGGGUUGAUGUCUAAUACGCAUCAACAUUGACGUUACCUACAGAAGAAGCACCGGCUAACUCCGUGCCAUCAGCCGCGGUAAUACGGAGGGUGCAAGCGUUAAUCGGAAUAACUGGGCGUAAAGCGCACGCAUGCGGUUAGAUAAGUCAGAUGUGAAAUCCCCCGGGCUCAACCUGGGAACUGCAUUUGAAA